rnacentral:rRNA from 1 species
AGUGAACGCUGGCGGUAGGCCUAACACAUGCAAGUCGAACGGCAGCACAGUAAUAGCUUGCUCUUACGGGUGGCGAGUGGCGGACGGGUGAGGAAUACAUCCGAAUCUACUUUUUCGUGGGGGAUAACGUAGGGAAACCUACGCUAAUACCGCAUACGACCUACGGGUGAAAGCAGGGGAUCUUCGGACCUUGCGCGAUUGAAUUAGCCGAUGAGGGAUUGGUUAGUUGGGGGGGUAACGGCCCACCAGGGCGACGAUCCGUAGCUGGUCUGAGAGGAUGAUCGGCCGCAUUGGAAGGGAGCCAGGGUCCAGACUCCUGCGGGAGGCAGCAGUGGGGAAUGGUGGACAAUGGGCGCAAGCCUGAUCCAGCCAUACCGCGUGGGUGAAGAAGGCGUUCGGGUUGUAAAGCCCGUUUGUGGGGAAAGAAAAGCAGCAGGUUAAUACGCCGCUGUUCUGACGGUACCCAAAGAAUAAGCACCGGCUAACUUCGUG